rnacentral:rRNA from 1 species
AAAGGAAUAGACGGGGGCCCGCACAAGCAGCGGAGCAUGUGGUUUAAUUCGAAGCAACGCGAAGAACCUUACCAGGGCUUGACAUCCCGAUGACCGGUACAGAGAUGUACCUUUUCUUCGGAACAUUGGAGACAGGUGGUGCAUGGUUGUCGUCAGCUCGUGUCGUGAGAUGUUGGGUUAAGUCCCGCAACGAGCGCAACCCCUAUUAUUAGUUGCCAUCAGGUAGAGCUGGGCACUCUAAUGAGACUGCCGGGGACAACUCGGAGGAAGGUGGGGAUGACGUCAAAUCAUCAUGCCCCUUAUGUCCUGGGCUACACACGUGCUACAAUGGCCUGAAACAGAGGGAAGCGAAGGCGUAAGCCGGAGCGGACCCCAUAAACCAGGUCCCAGUUCGGAUUGUGGGCUGCAACUCGCCCACAUGAAGUCGGAGUUGCUAGUAAUCGCGAAUCAGCAUGUCGCGGUGAAUGCGUUCCCGGGCCUUGUACACACCGCCCGU